AACGCUSGCGGCWGGCUUAACAAGSCWAGCUGAGCGGACGAAGGGAGUCGCUCUUCGGACCWGUGGGGAUGGGCGAGCAACGUUCAGGAACUCGUUCGGCAGCGGGGGACAAUGCUUGGAAAUGGGUGUCAACAUUGUACAUGCUUCGAGGGAGAAAGCGGGGGACUCCUGGAUUCUAUGUCACUAGACGAGUUCAGGCUGGACCAGUCAGCCGGCGGGGCAAAGGUUCAUUAAGGUGAUGACUUGCAAUCGGCUCGAGAGGACGACUAGCUAUAUCGGAAUCGAGAUAUGGCUUAGAUCUUCAUGGGAGGUAGUAGCGGGGAACACCGGAUAACGGGUGAAAGUUCGACUAGUUACGUUGUGCGCGCAAGAAGGCUCUGGACCGCAAAGUAUCCAAGCCGGAAGGAAGGGNACAAGCCAACAUUCCGUGCCCCAUKCCAUAAUAAACAAGAUUGGUAAUCCNCGUAA
rnacentral:rRNA from 1 species